UUUAGAUCUCGUACAAAUACUCGGGGGACUUAAAUGUAAUUAUGUAAUAAAGGAAGGGGCAAAUAUGUAAUAAGUGAGGAGCCAUUAUUCUAUAAAAGGACUCAUCACCCUCACAAUUAGGGGAGGCCAUUUCUUAAGCCUUCUCAGAACCUCACUCUCAUUACAAAGGUUCUCACACUCUCUCCCUCACAAUCCUCUCAGAAAUACAAUAAUCAGUGUGGACGUAGCCCAAAUAUUGGGGUGAACCACGAUACAUCUUGUGUUAUUUACUUUCUUGCAGAUUCACAGUCGGAUUUACGUUGUUCCAAGACCUCCGAUUUUGUGCAUCAACAUUUGGCGCCGUCUGUGGGAAUCAACACAAAAAACUAUGUCGGUUCUUUUUCAUUUUUUCACCUCUACCGCAAAAUCUGCAAAAUCUGCAAAAACACAAAACCAAAAGCUCCAAAAAAAAGAGAAUCAAUCAUCAGAUCCACCGUCCACAGCCCUGAUUCAAUCUCCUGGAGAUCUCUGAUCCCUUUCGCCCCAAAACAAAAGCUUUCAGAUGCUUUGCAUGCAUCGCAAUUCGUUCGAUUUUUGUAUGAUUGGAAAUCCGAAUUGAUGGGUUUCUUGUCGGAUCAGAUGGUCAACGAUUCUGCAAAAGUUGAGCAAACCAAUUACUGGAUAUGGGAAUAUAUCUCAGCGCUCUAAAAACUGAUAAGGUCUUAAAAGAUGGUGAGAAUGAUAGACUUCGAUAUGGGUCAUCCUCCAUGCAAGGGUGACGUUCAACCAUGGAAGAUGCUUUGCAAAUCUACAACUUUUAGUAGAACCCAAGACUUUCUGGGCCGACAUUGAAGCUCUCAAGGAGUUCAAGAACUCACUCAACCCUGACUCAGUGAGUCCCGGCUGGUGCGUCAGCUCCUAGGACUUCACCCUCGACCCCUGCGACAACCUCUUCAACGGUUUUGUUCACUUGUGGCUUCCGCUGUGACCCGGUCGACAACUCAUCGUCCACCAGCCGGCUCACCGAGCUCACCCUUGACCAAGCUGACUUCUUCGGAUCGACCCCGGACUCGCUCUCCAAGUUAACACUGCUGAGUCGACUCAGUCUCUCCGGCAACUCGUUCUCCGGCGCUAUUCCUGACUCAAUUGGAUCCCUUUCGAACCUCGAUGAGCUUUUCCUCGAUAACAACCGCCUCGACGGUGUAACCCCACAGAGCUUGCACAUCCAAGUAACGGGUGAAGGUUCAGUAGAUUGCAUUCGGUGCAUUCAAUGCUUAACAGGAUGAACAAGCUUACCAACAAGGCUGACAGUUUUGCCCAUGGAGUCAAAGAACAUGAGAAGUUGAGUCACAUAAUAAAUUAUUAUUUGAUUCAAUUGUGCAGUGAAACUAGGGCCCAAGAUCAUAGAGACAGUGAAGGGGAAGCUGAGGUUAGGGGCUAAGAUUGUAAAAGCAGGAGGGACGUUGGAGGUGUUCAAGCACGCAUUCAGCGCUAACGCAGGAGAGAAGCUGCUCAAGGCAUCCCAGUGUUAUCUGUCGACCACGGUCGGUCCUAUGGCAGACCUCAUCUUCAUCUCGACCGACGAGAUUGCGUUUUGUAGUAAGAGAUCGAUCAAACUUCCAUCGUCAGAUUCAGACAACAGUUGGUCAGCAGAGUCCACUACAAGGUGGUGAUCCCAGUGAAGAAGAUCAAGACGAUCAACCAGAGAGAGAACAGGAAGAAGCCAUCGUAAAAGUUUACUAUGGAUGAUUUUGACUUCUGGUUUAUGGGGAUCUUGAAUUACUAGAAACAUGCAUUGAAUCUCUAUCGCCAUGGUCAGAUCCGCCACCACAUAUUCACUGCUCUUCAUAGAUCGAGCUUAGUCGUGCAAGUCUUCGGUCUCCAUAUUUGAACAGGGGAAUGAUAAUCAUGUGUUAUGGGUCCUUUUGGGAAAAAGAAAGAAAAGCAAAAGUAAGAAAAAGAAAAAUGAGAAGGAUAUAUCUUGACCAUGCUGCACAUGCUCCCACUUUUUUUUAAGAAGCCACUGGAAAGCAAGAUAAUUCUAAUACUUUGAAAUCUCAACUUGACCAACGGAAAGCUGUUGUUGAUAAUCUUGUGUCUAAUACACGGCUUUUAGAAAUCAAGAUACAGGAGGCAAGAUACCCUUAAAGCACAUGCUCAGUCCGCGAAGACUGCAACUAAAGUGAGUGAGAUGGUGGGAAACGUCAAUACAAGUAGUGCUCUUUCAGCUUUUGAUAAAAUGGAAGAGAAAUGAAUUACCUUUAUUUCGUCAAAAAGAAGAAAAAGUAGGGCCGAAGUGACAACAAUAAAGGAAGACAAUGACAGCUGUGAUGCUCAUCAGAGAAGCAGAGAUAAUUGCGGUGGUGAAGGCAUGCAGAAAAGAGAAUUAUGUGCGUGACCAUUGAGCAAAGAGUCAGAUUUAUUUUUUAAUGAUGUAAUUUAUUUUUCUUAUCUUUCGGAGACAUCUGUAUAAACUCCAUCAGAGGGUAAUAAUUAAAAAAAAAACGUCAAACCUAAAAUAAUGGGCUGUAAUGUUAUGUGGAGAGCGAAGGCCCAUAUGCCUAAAAGAGCCAAGCCCUAUGGCUCCAAAAUUAUUCGGCAGCCUGCCGCUAUUACCAUCAACCAGGUGAUCAAAAGUACGCCCAGAACUCCAAAAUUAUUCGGCAACCUGCUGCUAUUAUCACCCACUAGGUGAUCAAAAGUACGCCCAGUACUUCAAAUUAUACAUGAGCAUUACUCAUGUCAAUCAUACAUAAACAUUCAUGAGCAUUACUCAUGUCAAUCGUACAUAAACAUUCAUGAGCAUCACAUAUGUAAACAUUCAUGAGCAUCACUCAUGUCAACAUCCAUGAGCAUCACUCAUGUUAAUCAACAUAAACAUUCAUGAGCAUUACUCAUGUCAAUCAGCUUCAAAAGCUUCAUUUACAGAGCUCUAGCUUCAAAAACUUCAUUUACAAAAGCUCUAGCUUCAAAAGCUUCAUUUACAGAGCUCUAACUUCAAAAGCUUCAUUUACAGAGCUCUAGCUUCAAAAGCUUCAUUUACAAAAGCUCUAGCUUUAAAAGCUUCAUUUAUAGAGCUCUAGCUUCAAAAGCUUCAUUUACAAAAACUCCAGCUUCAAAACUUCACUUACAAAGCUUCACCUACAAAGCUUCAGUGCAGGGUAUACAAAUAUCGCCUCCAAACAACCGCCACUUCGGCCCAUACAUGGAUUCAAUCUGAAGUCUCCAGCCAACAGACUUUAUUAACCGAAAACUUGGGGGACUACAUUAUGUACCAUAUAUUGGGCCUCAACUGGGCCUUAUGAAAAAUAUAAAAUACUUGGGGGACCUAGCCCAUCACUUAUGUAUUGAGGAGCGAGCCCUUAUUUUUAUAAAAGUGACUCCAUCACUUUCAUUAGAUAGCAUUCAUGAAAAAUAUUUGGGGGACUCUAGCCCAUCAUUUAUGUAUUGAGAAGCGAGCCCAUAUUUUAUAAAAGGAACUACCUCACCAUCAUUAAAGAGCAUCAACUCGAACCCAUCAUUCAUGUAUUGAGGAGUGAGCCCUUAUUCUAUAAAAGGACUCCCUCACCUUCAACGCCACAAGCCGAGCCAACCAAGGCAACAUAAGCCACAAGCCUAGCAGCCUCGCAGCAUGUGCUACUUCUAGUUGAGCAUCAUUUCAGAUUGAGCACCGCCUCAUAUCGAGCAUUAGUUCAAGACAACACCUAGUUACUUCGACCCACACAUGGAUUGAAUUUCAAGUCUCCAGCCAAAAGACUCUCUUGACUGAAGACUUAGGGGACUACUGUUUAUACCAUUCUUAGGGUCUCCGUAGUUAGAUCUUGUACAAAUACUCAGGGGACUUAAAUGUAAUUAUGUAAUAAAGGAAUGGGCAAAUAUGUAAUAAGUGAGGAACCCUUAUUCUAUAAAAGGAUUCCUCACCCUGACAAUUAGGGGAUGCCAUUUCUUAAGCCUUCUCACCUCUCUCAGAACCUCACUCUCAUUACAGAGGUUCUCACACUCUCUCCCUCACAAUCCUCUCAGAAAUACAAUAAUCAGUGUGGACG
rnacentral:lncRNA from 1 species